GAGAAGGGAGCUCAGUGGAAAACAUCAGUUGUGCCCACGCACCCAACUGUUCCAGUAACAUAAAAGCAACAGCAGUUGGAGAUACUUAAGGCAGCCAUGGUAUUGACAGAAAAAGACUCUGGAUUUGGAUUGCAGCUGUAGCAUUUAUUAAAUGCACGUCACAACCUCUCUGAGCUUCGUUUUCCCCACGUUUCAAAUGGGAUGCAGUGGACCCUGUUGCCUACCCGAGAACAACUUCAAAGCAACUUUGAGAGCCUUGUAUGGAAGAUGGCAACUUUGAGAGCCUUGUGUUGAAGAUGGCAAAGCCACAAGAUGGAAAGUGCUUGGGUUCUUGGAUCAUUGUAUGGAGGGGUUCUGCCCAACUAGGAUCACCCAGGCUGGAUUGUCAUCAAAGAAUUGGGUCCUGAAAGUAGCAUACUCAAUGGGGACUGUGAGCAUGCAUCACUUAAUCAGUACAUUGGCACUCCACUCCCUCCUGGGCCAGAUUGUAUGUAGGUCAACACCUCCAGUGGCUGAACCUCCAGAAGGGCUAUCACAAAGGUCUGAGAAUCUGUCUCCCUUAAGGCAGCGAGAAGUGGUCACAGACACGGCUUGGCUGCUAGCAUGGCAGAAGGUCUAGUGGGGGCAGCUGGGACUCCACCAGCCCAGAGUGAAGAUAAGAAUACCUAUUUUAAAGUUCUGUUGUGAGGUUCAAGUGCCACAUAUGGGGCCACCAGAAGCUGUUGGCGCCCCUCCCACAUCCCUGUGGUCCACUCAGGAGGUUAACUGCAGUCAGCUGUCAUUCUGCUGGUGGCUUCCUGCGUCUUUCUGCCUGAGCUUGUUCUUUGGCCCUGGAGGAACCCUCCACCAAUGAGAGAUGGGAAUUGUUGGAUAAAAGUCCCAGCUUCCACUCCAAGGCAUGUUCAUGAUCCAUGCAGCCUCUGAGAGGCCUCCCAUGGGCCUGAGCCCCAGUUGCCCACACUGGUAAUACACACAUCUGCUCACUCUCCACUGGCUUUCCUCUCUCCCUUUCUCACUGCUUCACCUUCCCAAUGUGCCUCCUGGACCACGUCCCAAAUAAAUGAUUGCACUCAAAUCCUCGUCUUGGGGUCUGCUAAGGGGAAAUCCAAGUCCAGACAUUGGUAUGACUCAAGUGCUUAAUAAAUAGACCAUGUCACUAUUGUAGUUUCUAGAUACCCAAAAUUCAAAUGUGGGUCUCUCUGCUUAUAUUUUGUAUUUUCUAUGUAAAAAAUUCCCUAAAGCCCUCCAGGAAGGACUCCUCUCCCUGUGGCUCCAUGCCAGUCCUAUGCUCUGCAGCCAUAGGGAGGAUUGCUGUGCCAAUGCUCACAAACCUUGGGGCUGCCAUCCCCAAGACUCCUUGGACUCCAUACAAAGAUUGACCUUAGGAGGAGUGAGUCACAACAACUCCAUGUGAGUAUUGGGAGGCUUUAUAGGUUGAAUUAUGACUUUCCAAAGAGAUUUGUCUUAAACCACAAUUCCUUAAAAUGUGAUCUUAUUAGGCAACAGGGUCUUUGCAAAUGAAAGUUAAGAUGAAGUCAUUAGUGUGGUCCCCAAUUCAACAUGACUGGUGUCCUUAUUAAAAGUGGAGAUUUGGACACAGAAAGACACAAACAAGGAGAACACCAUGUGAAGAUUGGGAUCAUGUGACCAAAAGCCAAGGAACUACCAGAAGGUAAGAGAGAAGACCAGGAACAAAUCCUUUCCUAGUGCCUUCAGAGGGAGUGUGACCUAGUUGACACCUUGAUUUUGGACUUCUAGCCUCUGAAAUUGUGAGACAAUAAAUGCCUGUUGUUUAAGCCACCCAGCUUGUGGCACUUUGUUACAUCAGCCCUACCAGACUAAUAAAGGGGAAUUGUCUUUAUGUACUGCCUAUGUGUGGCUGCAGGAACCAUG
rnacentral:lncRNA from 1 species